AUUGAACGCUGGCGGCAUGCCUUACGCAUGCAAGUCGAACGGCAGCACGGGGCAACCUGGUGGCGAGUGGCGAACGGGUGAGUAAUGCAUCGGAACGUACCUUUCAGGGGGGGAUACCGUACCGAAAGUUACGCUAUAACCGCAUAUCUUGUGAGAAGGAAAGCAGGGGAUCGAAAAACCUCGCGCGGAUUGAGCGGCCGAUGUCAGAUUAGCUCGUGGGUGAGGUAAAGGCUCACCAAGGCGACGAUCUGUAGCGGGUCUGAGAGGAUGGUCCGCCUGACUGGAACUGGGACACGGUCCAGACUCCUAAGGGAGGCAGCAGUGGGGAAUUUUGGGCAAUGGGGGCAACCAUGAUCCAUCCAUGCCGCGUGGGCGAAGAAGGCCUGAGGGUUGUAAAGCUCUUUCGGCCGGGAAGAAAUCGCACGGGCUAAUACCCUGGGUGGAUGACGGUACCGGAAUAAGAAGCACCGGAUAACUACGUGCCAGCCGCCGCCGUAA
rnacentral:rRNA from 1 species